AUGUCGAUUUGGAGGUUGUGCCCUUGAGGCGUGGCUUCCGGAGCUAACGCGUUAAAUCGACCGCCUGGGGAGUACGGCCGCAAGGUUAAAACUCAAAUGAAUUGACGGGGGCCCGCACAAGCGGUGGAGCAUGUGGUUUAAUUCGAUGCAACGCGAAGAACCUUACCUACUCUUGACAUCCAGAGAACUUUCCAGAGAUGGAUUGGUGCCUUCGGGAACUCUGAGACAGGUGCUGCAUGGCUGUCGUCAGCUCGUGUUGUGAAAUGUUGGGUUAAGUCCCGCAACGAGCGCAACCCUUAUCCUUUGUUGCCAGCGAUUCGGUCGGGAACUCAAAGGAGACUGCCGGUGAUAAACCGGAGGAAGGUGGGGAUGACGUCAAGUCAUCAUGGCCCUUACGAGUAGGGCUACACACGUGCUACAAUGGCGUAUACAAAGAGAAGCAAGCUCGCGAGAGCAAGCGGACCUCAUAAAGUACGUCGUAGUCCGGAUUGGAGUCUGCAACUCGACUCCAUGAAGUCGGAAUCGCUAGUAAUCGUAGAUCAGAAUGCUACGGUGAAUACGUUCCCGGGCCUUGUACUACCCGCCCGUCAAAA
rnacentral:rRNA from 1 species